CAGUAGCCGCGGUAAUACGUAGGUGGCAAGCGUUGUCCGGAAUUAUUGGGCGUAAAGGGCUCGCAGGCGGUUUCUUAAGUCUGAUGUGAAAUUCCUGGGCUCAACCUGGGGACUGCAUUUGAUACGUAUGGACUUGAGUGGAGAAGAGGGUUGUGGAAUUUCCAGUGUAGAGGUGAAAUUCGUAGAUAUUGGAAAGAACACCGGUGGCGAAGGCGGCAACCUGGUCUUUAACUGACGCUGAGGCGCGAAAGCGUGGGGAGCAAACAGGAUUAGAUACCCGCGUAGUCCCUGUCUCUUAUAC
rnacentral:rRNA from 1 species